UCUGGUUUGGGGACAGGGUUCACAGGCUGUGCAGGCGAGAGCAGGGCACUGGCUGGAGAGCAGCCGGGUGGGGGAGCAUCCCGGGCCAGCCGAGGGGCUGAGUGCCCCCAAAGCCCACAGGUGCACCCCUUCCCUGAAGCAGAGGUGAGGUUUGGGGGGCUGAGUCCCCGACAGGGUUGUCUCUUGGGUUCCCAGACUGGGGCAGCACCUACUCCGUGUCAGUGGUGGAGACCGACUACGACCAGUACGCGCUGCUGUACAGCCAGGGCAGCAAGGGCCCUGGCGAGGACUUCCGCAUGGCCACCCUCUACAGCCGAACCCAGACCCCCAGGGCUGAGUUAAAGGAGAAAUUCACCGCCUUCUGCAAGGCCCAGGGCUUCACAGAGGAUACCAUUGUCUUCCUGCCCCAAACCGAUAAGUGCAUGACGGAACAAUAGGACUCCCCAGGGCUGAAGCUGGGAUCCCGGCCAGCCAGGUGACCCCCACGCUCUGGAUGUCUCUGCUCUGUUCCUUCCCCGAGCCCCUGCCCCGGCUCCCCGCCAAAGCAACCCUGCCCACUCAGGCUUCAUCCUGCACAAUAAACUCCGGAAGCAAGUCA
rnacentral:lncRNA from 1 species